UACAGAGGUCUCAAGCGUUGUUCGGAUUCAUUGGGCGUAAAGGGUGCGUAGGUGGCGUCGUAAGUCAGGUGUGAAAUCUCGGAGCUUAACUCCGAAACUGCAUUUGAUACUGCGGUGCUUGAGGACUGGAGAGGAGACUGGAAUUUACGGUGUAGCAGUGAAAUGCGUAGAGAUCGUAAGGAAGACCAGUGGCGAAGGCGGGGUCUCUGGACAGUUCCUGACACUGAGGCACGAAGGCCAGGGGAGCAAACGGG
rnacentral:rRNA from 1 species